rnacentral:rRNA from 1 species
UGCAGUCGAGCGGACAGAUGGGAGCUUGCUCCCUGAUGUUAGCGGCGGACGGGUGAGUAACACGUGGGUAACCUGCCUGUAAGACUGGGAUAACUCCGGGAAACCGGGGCUAAUACCGGAUGGUUGUUUGAACCGCAUGGUUCAAACAUAAAAGGUGGCUUCGGCUACCACUUACAGAUGGACCCGCGGCGCAUUAGCUAGUUGGUGAGGUAAUGGCUCACCAAGGCAACGAUGCGUAGCCGACCUGAGAGGGUGAUCGGCCACACUGGGACUGAGACACGGCCCAGACUCCUACGGGAGGCAGCAGUAGGGAAUCUUCCGCAAUGGACGAAAGUCUGACGGAGCAACGCCGCGUGAGUGAUGAAGGUUUUCGGAUCGUAAAGCUCUGUUGUUAGGGAAGAACAAGUACCGUUCGAAUAGGGCGGUACCUUGACGGUACCUAACCAGAAAGCCACGGCUAACUACGUGCCAGCAGCCGCGGUAAUACGUAGGUGGCAAGCGUUGUCCGGAAUUAUUGGGCGUAAAGGGCUCGCAGGCGGUUUCUUAAGUCUGAUGUGAAAGCCCCCGGCUCAACCGGGGAGGGUCAUUGGAAACUGGGGAACUUGAGUGCAGAAGAGGAGAGUGGAAUUCCACGUGUAGCGGUGAAAUGCGUAGAGAUGUGGAGGAACACCAGUGGCGAAG